rnacentral:rRNA from 1 species
GGUAGCCGUCGGUGAAUACGUUCCCGGGCCUUGUACACACCGCCCGUCACACCACGAGAGUUUGUAACACCCGAAGUCGGUGGGGUAACCUUUUGGAGCCAGCCGCCUAAGGUGGGACAGAUGAUUGGGGUGAAGUCGUAACAAGGUAACC